AAUUCUUGCGCCACCACAGACCCCUCGGAUCAAUACACGGGCAGUAGGAACCCGCUACAAUUAUUUUCAUUUAUGAAAUAUGGUGGAGUAUUUUCUCUUUGUUGAAGAUAAGUGAUUUUUGAUUUAAUAGAAAUAUGACUGCUGCAAAGAUGUGCCGAUAUGAUAUUUAUCUGUCUGUCUCUCAUUACGGGUGUCAGUCGGGCAUUUAUCGGUGCCGUUAUAAUACAAACCUCCACUCAAAAGACAGCUGUCCGAGGUAAUCGUAUGAUAUGAUUUAUCUCCAAAAGCACCAGUGUGACCAUAAGGCUAGUAAACCCGUCACAGAUUGGGCUUCGCCUUUAGGGGGAGAGGUUUCUUAAGGUUUCCCUCGUGAAUUAAACACACGCAUUAUUAUUCUUGGGUAAAUAAACAUGGAAGACGACCAGCUCGAGCUGGAAGUUCACUUUCUUGUGUUUCUUCCAGGAAAAGCUCGCCCUUUUCGCUUGUGCUGUCUCAGCGCUUCGACAGUCCCCAGAGCAGGAGGCGUCACCACAGUGGCAGCAUUUGACAGCCCGGGCUUUGUGUGCCUCCAACUUCUUUAAAUACCCGCUGUCUCGCGGGCCUCGCGCCGGCCGGCGCCGCUGCGGCAGCCUCGCGGCCGAAUGCUAACCCGCCAAUGCCGGCGCGAGACUUCGCCGUUAGCGUCCGCUCACGAUAAACCGUCGAGUUUCCGUGACGCUCGCAGGAGGCGAAUGUUUUCUCGUGAACAUGAACAAGGGAAACACUAAACGCCGAUAACGGAGUUGCUAACUCUCACGCAUCUGGCGUAAAAUCACGACAGGUUUCCGGGACAUUUCGCAUCAUUUGCGGGUGUCAGGGAGCUGCUGUCAAUUUGCGGGAGACUCCCGGAGCUUCCGGGAACAUAAAUAAAAUUGCCAUCUUGUUGCUUGGGUAGCUGACUGCGACUCUGUUUGGAGUCGUCCCCUCCUGCAGGAGUGCAUGGCGAGGAGCCCUGAGGCACCAGCUGAUCCGGUGACCCCCUCGGAUUCCCCUUCCCCGCCGAAAGCAGCCGCAGAUCGGAUGUGACAACUUUGCAGAAGGGAAAGUUUUUUUUUUUUCGGUGCCGUAAGGCUGAAAGGAGAGGGUGGGUUUCCCGGACUGAUGGCAGAGUGUGGCUCGAGAGGCACAUCCCGUCUGCCGGCCUGUCACGUGACUAGCCAGUCGGUUUUGGUGGGAAAACGUUAAAGCCACACCCUCCUCCUGAGGCACUGCUCUUGUUAGGGUUAACUUGUGUUUAUGCUAACGAGGCUCGUCCGCAUGCUCACUGCACACCUCACACCAUAAAUCAGGCCUUUAAAUCUGAUUAUUACUAUGAACUGUUGGAGCCUUUGUGCAAAGAAACAAGCAAAAGCCACAAACAUGACGCCACAGAGGUGCGAGAUUCCUCCAAAGCCUCCGGUCCCCCUUUUCCAAACAGAGCCUCACGUAUUUCCUCAUCUUAAUGGCACAAAGAGGGCAAAACGGAGCUCUGGCAGACAUGAUAAACAGCCCGUUUCCUCUGACAGAUGGGCUGCACCAUCGCCCGCCUCCUCUCGUUCCUUAACUUGCCCUUUUUCUCUAUUCAAAGCGAAAACUGUUUUUUUCCCCCAAAUUGGUGUUAUUGGAAGUCGUAGAGGAUCGUCUCCAGGUUCAGAGAAAACACUGCUUCCCGUCUCUCCUGGGUAAUUCCUGCAUGCACUUGCCCCGAAACAGUAACUGAUAAUGCAGCUUUUAAAUGCAAAUGCAGCCGUUUCAGAUGGAGGAAAGUCUGCAUUUCUUAAUAUAUCCAGGAAACACAAACAGUAGGUCUUCGCCAAAGGCUUAUUAACGCAGCUGAGUGGCUGAGCGGCACCCUGGUCGCUCAUCCCGGAUUGAAAUUGCUUGAACUUAAAGUUAAUGCAUGUAAAGGAAGCGGCGAAGGCUGCUAGGGGUAGUGGGCAUGGCAGGCCAGGAUCUGACCUCAGCGGGCAAGUUUAAAAUCUGAAAUGGCAACCAUUUGCAUACCCUGGCUGGCUGCCAUGGAAACCAGCCUGGACUGGGAGUGGAACGAUAGUGGACCAGGAGGACUGGGUACGUAAAUGAACAUGAAGAUGAACAGAUGAAGAGAGCCACUGAAGGAGGCUGCGGAUAGCUCUCAGCUCAUACCACCCACUUUGGCCGUUCAUGGGUAGGCUUCUUGUGUUUGGGGGCCCCACUCAAAAAGUCUCUUCAGCCCCCAAACAGCCUCUUUGAAUGUUUCAAAAAUAAAUAAAUAGUUAGACUCAAAGAUCGUAACUGACUGGCUCGUUAGCAGAACAUUCAAGUUGUUUCAGCGUCUCUGUUUAUUUAAUACUUAGUGUACUGACUGUUUAUGACCAUGAGGGGCCCCACACUCCUCGUCGGUUUUUUUUGUCUGUUCCAGGUCUUCGUUCUGCCAGGACGUCCCAUUGCAGAAGCACUUUAGUAGAGUAUCUCUGCCAAUAAGAGACAUACAUAAUGUUUAAAAUUGGCAUGAGGAGGGUGGGUGACUUGUGAAAAGCUGGUGUUUUCUCUUACCUGUCAAGGCGCGUGUGUGGAAAAUUGAGGCUGUAGCGUGCAGGCAAAUGAUGCCGGUCUAAUACGAGCAGGAUGGUAAAACUGCAAACAUGCCAGACAGCAGAAGAGGCCUGAAUAGGGGCAGGGUACAAAUAGGGCGAUUUGUCAAACCCGCAGCACGUCCUGAAUAAAUGUAUUGCAAGAGCUGGGGCAAUUUUUCGCGUAUUUUUUACGGUUAUUGGGAAAUGUCCAUUUCCCCAGCAUGCUAUCAUAGCUCAAAAUGGCCCUCAGCUAAAUGCUGCUGCGCUUUUUUGAAACCUAUUAACACCCUGGCCGAUUUUAUUAGGCUCUAACACGGUAAUGUGGGAACAAACCUGUCACCGCUACUUCUAAGGUGUAAAAUCGGUGAUGUCUCUGGAAGUGUUAUUGUGUUACUUCUAGACAUGCUGCUGUAAUAUAUUACAUAAUUGCUUUGUAUGAGAUCUUCUGCACAACCUGUGAUACAAAGAAAUCAUUGCAAAAAAUAAUUGAAAAUCCAGCAUAACACAAGUACAGCUAAUAUGUCAAUUUAUUUCAACAAAUAUUCGACCACCCUUUUUUCUCUUUAAAUAAAAUAUUAAAAAUUUACUAUGCA